GACGAACGCUGGCGGCGUGCUUAACACAUGCCAGUCGAACGGAAAGGCCCUGCUUUUGUGGGGUGCUCGAGUGGCGAACGGGUGAGUAACACGUGAGUAACCUGCCCUUGACUUUGGGAUAACUUCAGGAAACUGGGGCUAAUACCGGAUAGGAGCUCCUGCUGCAUGGUGGGGGUUGGAAAGUUUCGGCGGUUGGGGAUGGACUCGCGGCUUAUCAGCUUGUUGGUGGGGUAGUGGCUUACCAAGGCUUUGACGGGUAGCCGGCCUGAGAGGGUGACCGGCCACACUGGGACGGAGAUACGGCCCAGACUCCUACGGGAGGCAAGGGUGGGGAAGAUUGCACAAUGGGCGGAACGCUGAUGCAGCAACGCCGCGUGGGGGAUGAGGGCCUUCGGGUUGUAAACCGCUUUCGCCUUUGACGGAGCGUGAGUGACGGUAAUGGGUAAAGAAGCACCGGCUAACUACGUG
rnacentral:rRNA from 1 species